UUCACUCUAAAUUUAACUAUCGAGUUCAUUUUAAGAUAUUAUCCCUCCUUAUUAGUUUUUUUAAUCAUAUGAAAUCUGUUGCUCAUUAACUUGUUGUAUACUAAAAGCCUUAUCAAUGUUUAAAAAUCUCUAAGCAUGUUUAGGUAGGUGUCUAAGCCGGUGUUUCAAAUGUCUAGACACUUUUUGAAAAACCGUUUUGUCCAUAUCUGAUUUGCCAACUAACCAACUAAGCAUAAGCUUAAACACCGUCUAAACCAGGGCCGUGUCUAACAUUCGGCAGACUAGAAGCGGA